GUGCUCGUUUCAGCAGCACAUAUACUAAAAUUUGGACUGAUACAGAGAAGAUUAGCACGGCCCCUGCGCAAGGAUGACAUGCAAAUUCAUGAAGUGUUCCAUAUUAAA